GUCGAGCGGACAGAAGGGAGCUUGCUCCCGGAUGUUAGCGGCGGACGGGUGAGUAACACGUGGGUAACCCUGCCUGUAAGACUGGGAUAACUCCGGGAAACCGGAGCUAAUACCGGAUAGUUCCUUGAACCGCAUGGUUCAAGGAUGAAAGACGGUUUCGGCUGUCACUUACAGAUGGACCCGCGGCGCAUUAGCUAGUUGGUGGGGUAAUGGCUCACCAAGGCGACGAUGCGUAGCCGACCUGAGAGGGUGAUCGGCCACACUGGGACUGAGACACGGCCCAGACUCCUACGGGAGGCAGCAGUAGGGAAUCUUCCGCAAUGGACGAAAGUCUGACGGAGCAACGCCGCGUGAGUGAUGAAGGUUUUCGGAUCGUAAAGCUCUGUUGUUAGGGAAGAACAAGUGCGAGAGUAACUGCUCGCACCUUGACGGUACCUAACCAGAAAGCCACGGCUAACUACGUGCCAGCAGCCGCGGUAAUACGUAGGUGGCAAGCGUUGUCCGGAAUUAUUGGGCGUAAAGGGCUCGCAGGCGGUUUCUUAAGUCUGAUGUGAAAGCCCCCGGCUCAACCGGGGAGGGUCAUUGGAAACUGGGAAACUUGAGUGCAGAAGAGGAGAGUGGAAUUCCACGUGUAGCGGUGAAAUGCGUAGAGAUGUGGAGGAACACCAGUGGCGAAGGCGACUCUCUGGUCUGUAACUGACGCUGAGGAGCGAAAGCGUGGGGAGCGAACAGGAUUAGAUACCCUGGUAGUCCACGCCGUAAACGAUGAGUGCUAAGUGUUAGGGGGUUUCCGCCCCUUAGUGCUGCAGCUAACGCAUUAAGC
rnacentral:rRNA from 2 species